ensembl:lncRNA
GUUGUAGUAGGCGUCUUGCGGGGGCACGGGAUGUACGGGACAGGCCUCUCCCUAAACAUAGAGAGAUAGUGCUAUCGUGCUGACCUUGUUGCAGAGAAAACAGGAGAAGAAGAAGGAUGAUAAAAGAAUGUGGAAACGGCCAAAUAAGGCACAAUGUUAUCUGGUGUGAACUAAUCAGAGUGGGACAUGACAGCACGGUUAUCUAGGUAAAAAUGUAUAUAAGCUGUGUUUAGUAGUGAAUAAACGCCAUUUGCCUCACUUACUCCUGGGGUCUGGGUGAGCAUCUGGCCCCGACCUGGUAAAGGGUCGGUUUCGCCCAGCAGUAAGCCCUACAUGUGGACAGAGGACGAACACCGGAUGAGCGAACGGAGACUACAUGCAACAAGUGGUGACCCCGACGUGAUCUGUCUGCUGAGGGUGGCUGCCCGGCGUGCCCGUGACGCGGAGAAGAGCCUGUGAGGUGGCGGCAGGUCGCGCACGGAAGACGUAUUGCGGUUAAGAGCCUGCGAGGUGGCGGCAGGUCGCAUACGUAACAAUGGACCAAGUCAUUAAGUUUGUACAUCUUUAAAAAGAAUGUUAAUUGCCUGGACCAGAAAUAUAGGUGAUUGACUUCUUAAAAGAUCUGGUUUUGGAUGCUGUGUCCGAAAGUCAGUACAUAAAUCUACAUCUAGGAAACUAAAAAUGAUUUGGCUUUCAGAGUGCUGAAUCACUUCAGAAACCUGGUGAGUAAAUUAAAGCUACAGAUACUUAACAUCUCUUGAAGUAAAGAAACAUAUUUUUAUAUAUAUAAUUUGACAAUAUUUGUUUAAGUAGCUUAGUUACAGAUUUUCUAACUCUUCUUGAAGAGUUACUUUACAUCUACUUCCUGUUUCCUAAUCUAUUCCCUCCAUCAUCAUCUUACAUCUUCUAUAGUGUGCAAUCAGAAUCGCAAGAACUGCCUUGAUAUGAAAGAAAAUCAAAGCCAAGAUCCAAAUAUAGUCAUUAUUUCCUGAGCGCAUAACAAAAUACCAAAAUCAGUUGUUCCUAAGAUCUUAAUACUCUUGGGAAAUUAGUCUACAGUUUAGUAUGUCUGGCUGUGAUCCAAACUUAUGCAUAUUUCACAGAAAUUUAAGCAGGAAUAUUUUUAUAAAUACUUACUGCAUGCCUCUCAGUUGGGCAAUCUCCAUGUUAAAUUAAAGGAUUAUACUAUAUGUUAGCUGUAUCCUGAGGCUCCAAGAACUCAGUCCUGCAAAUUAUGAC